AUGGUUUGCAUUAUGGAGUUUCAGACUUCCCGUAUGCUGCUUAUUCCAUGGUAUGCUUUUUUUUAGACAUGAAUAUAAAAUUACAUAUUUGCCCUUGGAUUAAUAUGUUUUCACUGUAGAUGCUUGUUGGGAUUUUAUCGUCUGUAAUUGCAACUUGUUAUGAGAUGGCCAAAACCAUUGCAUUUUGCAAUAGUUGAUGAACUUGAUUAUGUCCUAAUUGAUGAGGGAAGAAACCCAUUGCUGAUAAGGGGUGAGGCUAGCAAGGAUGCUGCACGUAACACAGUUGCUGCUAAAGUAGCUGAGCUUCUCAUGCGUGGCCUCGUAUUUUACUUUUUUGCCCUUCUUUUUCCUUUUUGAUGUCUUGUUAUCCAUCUCCAUUGUAUGCGUAUCUCAUUGUUUGUUCCACUACACAUCAUGUAAAUUUAUAUAUUGUAACAAAUAGAAUUGUAAGACAUUAAAUUUUAUGAAAUGGAUUAUAUUUUUUGUA